ACAGAAGGCUGAACAAACUCAAAGACAAACCACUUGGAAAAGGCUCACUGGAAAAUACUUCUGUAGCUCGAACUGCCUACAUGGGGCCGCAUGUCGUAAUUGCUGAGAAAGAAAGAUAAAGCUGAAUGAAAGAAGGAAAAAAGUCACUGAGCAAGAGAGAAGUGCAGCAAGGAAGGUAUAUCAUAAAUAAUUCUUUUCCUGAAAUGGCAUGGCAGACUUCUGAAACACAGAUCAACUGAGAGACAGGGAUAGUUCUCAGUGGACACAGCUCCAACUAGAAUUUUCCACAGAAUCAACACUGCCAUUCAGCAGUGACUGACUGAACUUAAGAGCUCCGCUCCAAAAAUAACGCAGUUUGCAUAUUGCAUAGAAGCAAAAAACCAUUCAAGUUCAAUACCCUUCUGCUGAUGAAAAGGGGCCAUUUGGGUUGAAAUUCUAUACUGAAGAUUAAUGUUCUUUUUUGUAAAGAAAGAAUCAUUAAACAGUACUGAAGCAUCUACUGCUGAAGGCACCAGCACUAGUGUUUAAAAUACUUGUAACUUGUGGUUCUAUUUCUGGCUUUUUUUUU
rnacentral:lncRNA from 1 species